rnacentral:rRNA from 1 species
GACAGAGGGUGCAAACGUUGCUCGGAAUUACUGGGCGUAAAGCGCGUGUAGGUGGACCAGCAAGUCAGGCGUGAAAUCCCUAGGCUCAACCUAGGAACUGCACCUGAAACUACUUGUCUUGAGUACCGGAGAGGAAAGCGGAAUUCCUGGUGUAGAGGUGAAAUUCGUAGAUAUCAGGAGGAACACCAGUGGCGAAGGCGGCUUUCUGGACGGUAACUGACGCUGAGACGCGAAAGCGUGGGGAGCAAACAGG